UCAAUCACAGGAGAAUCCAUAAAUCUCUUUGAACCAAUCACCGCGCUCUUCAUCCAUUUUCUCUCUCGAUUCCUCCAUUCUCAAUUUCUACAAUCCUCUAGCAUAGCCUCACAGAAAAACCUCACGCAUCACAGUAAUCCCGGAACAACAUUGUGACAACCACUAUGAUUCAACGGGAUAAUGAUGCAAAUGGUUCACGCGCACAAAACAGAAGCGAUUCAGAAGAAGAAUAAGAGAAGGUGAAUCAAAUCGAAGAAAAGAAAGGAUUCGGUACCUAUUCGUGUCGACGCUUCGAUUUAGUGAGUUUCUUAUGUUUGAUUCAAUCUCAUUUCUUUCUAUUUGUGCAAAGUUGAAUUAAUGUGAACAAAGAAUGUUGAUAGAAACCGAUUAUGGAACUGUGUUCUUCAUCUCUUCCUCAUUUCAAAUCCAUGCGUGAACGCCAUUGACAAGGACGAAGUGACGCCAGAGAGGAAAAAGCGUGAGUCGGUGCCGAUUCCGAGCUUUUGAAGCGAUAACUGGAGUGCGGUGAUUAGCCCGAGUUUUGUCGAUUGGCAUGGAAACUUUGUAUCGUGUUGAAGAGGUGCUUUAAGGAGUCGCCAUUUUCUCCCGUCUCAGCUGAGUGAAUUGGUUGAUUACACUGCACAUUUUGUGACUGAGAUGGAUCCGGGUUUGGGCCUAAGGCCCAAACGGAUUGUUUAUGCCAUUUCCUUGCUGCAAUUCCCUUCAGUUGGGUCUGUACCCCUUUGAUUCAAUCAAUUAGGGCCCAGGUUCUUUUUUUCUUUCUUUUUUUAAUUUUAUUUUGUUACAUUGUAUUUAUGAUUAAUUAAUUGCAUUAGCUUAAUUGGGUGGGAAUUAGGAAAUCAAUCCAUCUCAAUUUCUUUUGAAUUAGAUUUAAAAUUAAUCAAGGUUCAUUAGGUUAAUUAGAUCUCUAAUUAAUUUAAUUAGAUUAUUCAUUUUAGAAUAAAUAUAAAUUUAGGUCA
rnacentral:lncRNA from 1 species